CUGUCUCUACUGACAAUAGGCAUUUUUGCUUAUUAUUGACAGUUUGCAUAUGUGUUUCCACAUGUGCUUUCCUGAUUUUUCAGAUUAAUUCUAUCAAUGGCUUAAAAUCCUGCUGUGGUUCUCCUGAACUAUUCUGUUUUUCCCUGAGGACUCUGGUUCCUUCCUGUAUGGUCUGCUGUCUUUUGCUGUUUUACCUUUUUGCAUUGUAUGUCUGAAAGCUCCUGAAGAAACUCGUCGGAGU